rnacentral:rRNA from 1 species
UACGUAGGGUGCGAGCGUUGUCCGGAAUUAUUGGGCGUAAAGAGCUCGUAGGCGGUGUGUCACGUCGGCCGUGAAAACCUGCAGCUUAACUGUGGGCGUGCGGUCGAUACGGGCAUCACUGGAGUUCGGCAGGGGAGACUGGAAUUCCUGGUGUAGCGGUGAAAUGCGCAGAUAUCAGGAGGAACACCGAUGGCGAAGGCAGGUCUCUGGGCCGAUACUGACGCUGGAGGAGCGAAAGCGUGGGGAGCGAACAGG